CAGUAUCACCUUCACAGUUUGUGAGACUGCAGUAGUCCGUAAUGACUCAAAGUAUCCACUGGGGGACGAUCAAGUCCUGCCUCCGCUGCUGUACACCCUCUACAUGGACGAGGCAAAGCACUUCAAUAACACGCACAAUGGGAAAUAGGGAAGGUAGGGGCAGCAGGCAGAUGUGUAAUGCUCUGACUUACCGUGGGCUAUUUUACAUAUCAACAUAAACUUUUAUUGAUUCUCACCACGAUGCUGCAUAUGUGUAUGGCUUAAGGUUUUCAAAGGCUUCCUAUUUUCGUUGCCUGCACACCUGCUUUUUGUUGCUGCCAGACAGCACAUAUGCAGCGGUGCAUCGUUUUUCGGAAAGGGGGGCGACACUCAAGGGGUGAUAGAUCCUGUUGAAUUGAAACAAGACAACGUCGAGACGAGUCCAAAAGUGUCAUUCCUCGAGUGCAAAGAGCACGGAUGUAUAGGUGAUAUUUUCGCCGGCUGGUUGCGUCGAGGGAUUUUAAUACUCUAAAAACAAGACUAGAAUUUGGGUAUCCCAACGAAUUGCUCUGUGCCUACCUCCGGUAUAUUUUUGUUGGAGGCUGGGACGAUUUUGUUUAGCCAUUAUUGAAUAUGUAAGUUGAAAAUCAAUGAAUGAUAAGGUACACAUUCUUUGAUAAAAACGUGGACAAUUACGUGCGUAAUGUUUACAGACAUGCUGUUGCAUGAGUGGUUCAUGCUUGUCUCCUGUUGCCGUUGUGGUCAUACUAAUACGCAUGUAUACCCUGUAUAUGUUAAUCUAGUUAUUAAUGUUAUUAAUAUAUAUGUUCUUUAUUACUAUCCGAACGAUUUGUAUGUUGUUGUUUUUUAACCGUAAGGCAAGAUGUGCGUAGGGAUUCAAUUGCCUAACAGUUGGUAUUAAUUUCAAUAUUAUUUAACCAAGCUUUCGUCUCUUCCUUUCAGAUAAUAAAGACGUCUGACGAAUAAAGUCGUUUCACACCAUAGAGAAAAUGCAAGAUAAAAAGGCCAGAUCGUUCAUCACUUAAGAUGGCAUCCAGGAGUGACCACGAAGAGGCAAAAUGAUGUAUUUCUGCAAGUUAGCCACAAGAGAGGCACCAAAUAAGUCAAUCUGAUGAGAUAUUGAACAGGAUAUUAGCCAGUGGUAUACAACGUAAAAGGAACAGUAAACUCAUUGGAAAUAGUAAAGCUUUAAAUAAUAUGGUUCCCUCAUGCCCGGAUCUCAUAAUGAUGUCAUAAAUAUUUCAGGCGUGUAUACGGAAAAUACGUAGUGUAUCAUAUAAUGGGCAUGGAUUGUAAUCUAAAAUAGACAUGUAAUUAAACUCAUGAAACUGAACUAAUUUACCCCUCACCCUCACAGGUGCCUCACCUGUCAAAGCACAUCAGCCACCCUGUGCGUCCUAGGCUGCAACUUGUUAGGUUGACUUGCAUGCGCGUGUCUCCAAAGGGAUUAUAGUGUUCACUGAAGACUAAAUUACUCACCAAUCAAAAUGGAGUUUGCAAUGGUAGGUGCGGAUGGAGGGUGCAAUAGUCACCUGCCUUAUGGCUGUGCCCAGGCUCGCGCACGGGAGAGGGAGCGCGAGAAGGAUCGACAGUCACGAGCACCGGUGGCUGCUGAAGGUGGACCAAAUGGAGACGGAGGGGAGUCCUCCAGCCAUCUCCUUAACAACCACCAGCAGCAUCAGUCUCGCACCGCCUCCUCAUCAAAUGCCAACAACAGUAGCGGCGGUACCGCCUUGCGCCCCUCCUCCUCACCACCACCACAGCAACACCAACACGAGCCUGAACAGCAAGCUUUCAGAGAACGGAAAAAGCAACGCGGUGUAGGACGCUGGAGAAGGAGUCGCCCGACUCUCGGUGGGGAUUUGCGCCACUCAGAGUUGGCGCUGCUCGGAUCCGAGGAGGAUAUUAUGAUAGAAGAGGAGGAGGCGGAAGGGGCAGAAGAGGAGGACGUGGUAAUCAAAAGAUCAAGUUUUCCCUGUAAUAUGGGUGAUGAAGAGGAGACUGUCUCACUCACAGACAGGCGUCCCCAAUCAGGAUACGAAAAUGUUUACAGUGAGUAUGGGUGCUGCGAGAGAGUGGUUAUCAAUGUGUCAGGUCUGAAGUUUGAAACACAAAUGAAGACCCUUACACAAUUUCCUGACACUCUCUUGGGAGACCCCGACAAACGAAUCAGGUACUUUGACCCACUAAGGAACGAAUAUUUUUUUGAUAGGAACAGACCAAGUUUCGACGCCAUUCUUUAUUUUUACCAGUCAGGAGGACGAUUGAAGAGACCCGUCAAUGUACCAUUUGACAUCUUCUCAGAGGAGGUCAAGUUCUACGAACUUGGAGAGGAGGCGAUGCUGAAGUUUCGGGAGGAUGAGGGAUUUGUUAAAGAGGAGGAAAAACCAUUGCCAGUGGACGAGUUCAAACGUCAAAUCUGGCUUCUUUUCGAGUACCCAGAAAGCUCUAGCCCUGCAAGAGGAAUUGCAGUCGUGUCAGUUUUGGUUAUAGUUAUAUCCAUUGUAAUUUUCUGUUUGGAAACUUUACCAGAGUUCAGGGACGAAAAAGAAUAUCUCCAACCGCGAAACAACUCUACUCAACCUGACAAUGGAUUUACUCCCUUCAACGACCCAUUUUUUUUAGUGGAGACGGUAUGCAUUAUUUGGUUUUCCUUUGAGAUUACAGUCCGGUUCUUUGCAUGUCCAAGCAAAGCUGAUUUCUUUAAAAACAUUAUGAAUUCUAUAGACAUUGUAUCCAUUUUGCCUUAUUUCAUAACUCUAGGCACAGACCUUGCUCAACAUCAAGGCAAUGGGCAGCAGGCGAUGAGUUUUGCAAUCUUGAGAAUAAUCCGUCUUGUCAGGGUCUUUCGCAUCUUCAAGCUCUCGAGACACUCCAAAGGACUGCAAAUCCUCGGACAUACUCUCCGUGCCAGUAUGAGGGAGCUGGCGCUUCUGAUAUUCUUCCUUGUAAUUGGUGUCAUUUUAUUUUCAAGUGCAGUUUACUUCGCGGAGGCAGACGAACCCUCGUCCCAAUUCACAAGUAUUCCUGACGCAUUUUGGUGGGCUGUCGUCACCAUGACCACGGUCGGAUAUGGAGACAUGAAACCCAUAACAGUCGGGGGCAAGAUAGUGGGCUCGCUAUGUGCCAUAGCGGGUGUGUUAACCAUUGCACUUCCAGUGCCCGUAAUUGUGUCCAAUUUCAAUUACUUCUACCACAGGGAAACCGACAACGAAGACCAGGCACCGGUUGUUGAAAGCAUACCCCCUGGCUGCCCGUAUUUCCCAGACUUUCUGAAGAAAUUCAAAGGCUCACCCUCUGGCUCUUCUUUGGGCGACAAAGCGGAGUAUAUGGAAAUGGAAGAAGGGGUAACCGAGUCGCUGUGCGGCGUAGACAAACAAAGUCCAAGCAAAGGGAAUGGUACAGAUAUUGGCAGAAAAAAUAGUAACUCAAAGUCUUUUCAGACUGAUGUGUGACAACUAAAGAAUGGAAUAUUUUUCGUGAAAGUGUUUUUCAAACCAAAACUGGUGGUCAGACUCUCUCAGACAUACACGCACGCAUGCAUUCUCUUGGUCUGUUUCCAACGCCCCUGUUUCUCACACACACACGCUCUCUCAAUAACACAAGCAAUUUUGCUGUAGGCCUAUAUCUUUGAAAGGUAUAAGAUGUGUUUUAUUUUGCCAUGUGGCUGCUUAGAUGUAUAGGCCCAUGGAAAAUAGACGCCCAAAUCUGCUUUAAGCAAGGAAAUUAUGACCUAAAGUAGAGGGCCCAAACCUAGCGGGAAAAACGGUUGCGAGAUUGAGACAAAAUACAGGCUUAAGCAUUCGCACUUUAUCCGUUUUUUAGUCAAUAAUGGAAAGUGAAAAAUACAUCUAUUGUUUUGCAGUUAUGCAGUAAAUUCACAUUAUUUUGCACUAUUGUAAAAGCAUAAUUUGACUGUUUAGGGAGUUGGAUAGACACUGACAUUUUUUAUGAGACAGAAACUGAAGGACCCUUCAGACCAAAUAGCGGAUAAUUGUUCGUUUAUUUUCACCACGCAUCGACAAAUAUCAAUUUGUAUUGUGUUAGAAUGCCGAUGGCUCAGAUGCCCCGUUCCCUGUUGAAUACAAUUUCAAAAUUAGUAGCCUAAUGAAAUUGUAAAAGAAAGAGCAAAGAUCUUAAGGCGCAUGACCAUGACAGGGGUUUUUCUAUUCAACGCUCCACAGCCUUGGCAACACAAUCCUCAAGGCAAGUGAUGCAAGAAAAAGUAAUCUCAAAUAAACACUAGUAGGUCGGCUGAAAUUAAGACGUCUAUAAAGACACAUCGAGGGGAAGCAUAUACGCCAUUCUAGUUACUUAACAGACUUAUUUGGGAAAUUACUCUUUCUCAAGUUUUUGUGGGUAUGCCUUUGGCGACAACAAACCCCGUCCCUUUAAAACCAACUCAAAAUGACAAUAUCCCUUUACGUGUCAAGGACGCUGACGAAAACCUAUAGCAAAGGACUGUCGUGGAAAUGUGUUAACUAUCUCGUCCAGUGGACUUGUUGCACAAACUCAACUCAAAUUUGAGGACUCGGUCAUCCCAGGACGUACAGAAGACCGUAUGGAGUUGGCUGUGUCAUCCAAGCAUCCAGGGAGAGGCCUAUUAUUAGUUAUCUCAAUGCUUGGCUCUGCAAGUUUCCGGUCUGCCGACGCAGGGCUUAGGAGAGUGUCCUGAGACUCUUGGAAUUGGAAGAGUGAGAAAGAUUCGUGUGACCCAUCAUCUGCACCCAAGGAAGAACAUCAAACUGUAAACAACUGAUGCAAGAGUGGACCUAGCAUUCAGACAUCAGAGGUUAAACGGACAUUUUGACUUUAAAAUGGACCGGCAGAGUUUGAAGUCCCUCGCAGUUUAGCCUGGAAUAGACAAAUGAGUAAGUCAUGGCCCAAAUCGAUUGCCUUAAUUAUUACACCUAUACCUACAUAUGACGUGAUGAAACUAGAGACUUAACAGUUUAUCAAGUUCAAAGAUGUUUUUUCUUUACAUGUGAAAAACAGUCUCUUGUAAGGAACAGAUAUUUUACUAUGAUAGAGAACAUUGUUUGGAUGUAACGUUGACAUAAUGUUUUAGUUGGGUCUGCUUUGUAGGUGUCACUAAAAACUAAAUGAUGGAGUUGCCAUCUGCUUAUAUGCAGCCAGCAGUAUGCGUUGAUCUAUUUUCUAUUUUAUUUCGUAUUGACAACCAAACAUGGCUGCCCUGAGCUGAUUGCCCAGAUGCUGGCUACAAAGUUUCAUAAUUCACAACAUGACAUGAAAAGAGCAGGGACACCAAUAUUAUGAGGCAUAUACAAUAUAGUAUAAAGAUAAUACAACAAGAUACACAUUCAACCACAUUCUGUAUGUUAUCUGGACUAAAUCCUCUUUGUCUCACAAACUCACACACAAAGAUGUCAGGCAUACACACACAUGUGCGUAUCAUCAUGCUCUUUCAAUUAUAAAGAUGGUGUGAAAUGUACAUGAGAGAUACCAAGAGCUUUUCUUCAAGAUGCAACCAUUACUUUGGCUGCAAAUGCAUUAUUUGACAGUAGACCAGCUUCUUUGAUGAUGAGUCUCCAUCUUAAAGUUAACUGUAUGCAAAAUAACAUGGAAGUAUGUUCUAUAUUUUUUUAAACCUAGCCUUGAAUAUUACAUAACCAAAGGUGAAACCCUGGAUUUAUUGUACUUUGUGGACACUUCUUUUGAAGAUGUUGUAAAAAAUAGAUGCAUAUUGAAUAGAACUGUAAAUAGGCUGACAUUUAUAUUUAUGCGUCCUGCGAUGUGUCACAAGAAGUCUUUUGAGUAUUUUACUUUCUUUGACUGUUAGUCACCCUCAGAAGUCUGUCAGUUAAGUUUACCAUCACUGAUACACUUGAUUUAAAUUUGUAUAUUGUGAAUGCUGCUCCAACAUUAUAUAUGGUUCCUAAGUUUGCAGUAUUAUUGUCAUAGUUUUUUGUAUGGCUUCCAUCUCAUUGCUCAUCAAAAAUCCACCCACUUUCUUUUGGCCUUCUUUGAAAAAAAGGGUUGUGUAGAUUGCUCAUUGCAGCCUUGUCCAACCAGCAUUUUGCUUUUUAUAGCCGAUAUGCCAUGUUCAUGUCCAUCUGCAUACUUUCAGUCAACAGCCAAGUAAUGCUCAUUCUUGGGCGUACUGUAUGAUAUUGUGAUGUCGUCCGUGGAUGCAAUUGUACAUCGACACUUUUUUUUUUGGAACCUCUAUUAUUUACGUGGAAAAUGUUUGUCUUCCUGUUUUCUUCCACACAAAUAACAAAAUCUUCUUUCUGUGUUCCCUUCAAAAGGAACUUAACACUUGAAUUUAGAUCAUUCAUCUCAGUAUUUUUUGUCUUGUUAUAAAGACAAUCCAAAGGAUACCCUUCUUCCCUUGACUCUGUUGAAAUAUGUCUGUUCACAUUGCCUAGGCAUUGCAUUUUCUUCAAGUCAAGUUUUCAAAACCCUAUCAGACCACAACUAGCCUUCACAUUUUCAUAUUCAUUUUGUCAGUUAAGUUGGGAAAUUAAUGCUUUAUUACCCUAUAAUGAGAAACUGAGAAAGGAAAUGCUGUUUUAAGCGUUUCAUUUUUAUCUUACAAUUACAAUAGACCAUUGCAGUUGGAAUAACUAUUUUCUGUCAGUCAAGUGUACUGUCAAAUGUUCAAUCCUUAAGCUGGCAAAACAUUGUUAGUGUUAAUAUGCUGUAGUUGAGUUAAAACUCUUUAACCUGCAACUUUUAAGCUUUGAUUAACGUAAAUCAAAGAUUACUGGAAAAACUGUUAACAAUUUAUAGUUUGGUGUCACCCGUAUAAUAUUAUUCAACAUUACAAUAGGUAAUCAGUCCUUUUGUCAUUGACAACAAGGCAACAAUUCAUCAGUUUCUAAAAAGCUAAAAAAACAAAAGCUAAAAGCUUCACAUAAUGACAAAAUUAUAUUGUUUCUGAGUGUCUUUUAAUUGUUAUUCAAGAUCUUCAUAUUAUGAUGGUACUACAGUACUUCACACUGGGGCUGCCCUCUGACUGACAUAAACUGCCAAACAUUUACAAUGUUUAAUCAAUCUACUUUCUCCUUGGGUCUGUCCUGAUGACUGUCAGAAGUUAAUGUAAAAUAUAAAGGAUGUAUCAUAUACACCAUGCAGACUUGUACUGAACACAGAUAUACAGGUACUUUCAAAUUGAUUUUAGGCAGUGGAGUUGGGCUGGCUUUGAUGAUUGAUGAGGGAAUGAAAUAGUGAUCCUUGAGUAUUUUCUAUAAUUCAAGAUUUUGAUGAAGAUGGAUACAUCUCUGUUUGCGUGAAGUCAUUAUAGAUCAUGGUAUUAAACAUGGUAUUAUAUUGUAUGUACAAUUAUGACCAUAAUUUCUCUCUAAACUGUCAUACUCUCAUCUGAAGAGCUAUAUUUUCAUUUUGGAAGUUUAGAAGUUAUCACUGUGUAUAUGUUUGAUGUGUGAACCAUUGAAUUCCAUUAACUUGAGAAGGGGUUAAGAAUCAGUCCCUUAAAAGGCAGUCAAGGCCAUUUAUGUGUAAAAUAUUUCUGUCAAGAUGUUCAGAAUAUCUGUGUGAGUUUUGGCAAGCCUUGCAUUUAUUCUGCAUGAAGCUUUGUUUUUUUUAAAGUGCAUCCUAACUUGAGAUAUGUUUGUGUUCUUGGGAUGCUUUCUCUUAAUCUCUCUCUCUCUCUCUCUCUCUCUCUCUCUCUCUCUCUCUCUCUCUCUCUCUCUCUCUCUCUCUCUCUCCUUCUCUCUCAUUUUCCACUCGUCUUCUUUUUCCUUUUCUAAAACUUUAAACGUUUUGGGUUUUCUACAUUCAUAUCAUUUUGUAGGCAGCAAUAUGAGAUGUGAUCGAAAACGGAGUAUGUGCAAUGUUGAAUAAAGAAAAAUAUAUAAUAUAUGAAAUAAAAAGUCAGAAAAUAUACGUG